CCUGUACAAACAAAUAGCUGAUGGAGUGACGGAGAAGGUUAAUGCAUCCCCAUUAUCGGAUUUGGGGUUAAAUAAGAAGUCUUAAGGGUUGGCAAAUCCGCCYUUUUUAAGGACAACUUAUGAAUACGAGUGAACGCUUUGCAAGUAGCGAAGAUGCAUACAUCACGCUUCCAAGAAAAGCUUCUAGGGUUAACUAUUUGUUUCCAGUACCGAGAACGAACACACGUGGUCAAGGAGAAGAUCCUAAGGUUAGCGAGUGAACUAUAGCUAAGGAACUCUGCAAAUUCAUCCCGUAAGUUCGCAAGAAGGGAUGCUCAAUGUAACAGUUGAGCCGCAGUGAAGAACGAGGGGGGACUGUUUAACUAAAACACAGCUCUAUGCUAAAUCGCAAGAUGAUGUAUAUGGGGUGACACCUGCCCAGUGCUGGAAGGUUAAAGAAGGGUGUUAG
rnacentral:rRNA from 1 species